GAAUGCAAAGGAGUUUAGAAAGGAAAAUGCUAACAUGCAAAUGGGGGGAAAGCAUGCCCAGUUAGAGACGAGGAAGCAUGAUGAAGAGAUGGACUUAGUCAAGGAUGUCACAAGCAUGAAGUCAAAAAUAACUGAACUUGAACGAAAAUUAAGUGAGGCUAAAGACACCAUCUCAAAGCUAACAGAGGAGAGGAAAUCUACCGCUCAAGAAAGAGAGAGCUUACAAAGAGAACUGGUCAUGUUGACAAGUAAGAAAGGCGGAAGAAAAGUGCGGGUUGGAUUUCCGCUCCUCUAUGUGGUUACUGUAGCCUUUAUUAGUAUGGUGUUCGGCUACCUUUUGCACUACUGAUCGAAGCAUUUAAUACACUGCUGCGACUGAGAGAGGUUAUUAUGUCUUAUCUUGAUAGACAAAUUUUCCUUCACAAAGCCCUUCAUCUGUUCUAGCUAACGCUGAGGAUCAGAUAUGUUGUUGUAUUGACUAGUAGAGUAUAUCAAGUGUUGUAAAUGCCGCUUUUAGAUGGAAUAAAGUGUAAUAAUCUCCGUCUACUACCUAAGCCUGGCAGGUAGAGGAGUUGGAG
rnacentral:misc_RNA from 1 species